AAACAAAAUUGAGUAAGCAACAGAAGUCAUUCAUUUCAAAGAUUACUUCUAGUUAAAAGCUGAACAUGGUAAUUUACAAUUUUCCUUAUAUUCAGGAACGGACUGUUUGGGUGAGUUGCAUUUUCUAUCAGUCCUCAAAAACUUUUAAAUGGAGGGAAAGUUUUAUACAGGUUUAGUUGAUCAGUGGAUUUACAAAUAGGGCACCUAAAUGUGGCGUGUUUAGUGACGGCAUUUUUUCAAAAAAUAUUCGAGGUACGCAUGUGCAUAUAAUUGUGUUCUAAAGAGGAGUUUGCUCGAUUUGUAAAUUGAAUGAGUUGAAAUAUAGAAAAAGGCGAUUAGACUCAGCUCGAACAUGGAUGUUUACUGAACCAUAAACAUUGGAUUAGUGGAUUUAACAUAAUAGAACAAAACUGUGGAAAACUUUAAACAAUUCUGUAAAAGAUCGGGG
rnacentral:lncRNA from 1 species